ensembl:lncRNA
CCUUCCUUCCUUCCUUCCUUCCUUCCUGCCUCACUCCUUUCCUUUCCCUUGACCUCCCUCUGUUUCUUCUUUCCUUCCUUCCUCUCUCCCUUCCUUUCCCUUGACCUCCCUCUGUUUAUUCUUCUUUCUCUCCUUCCUCUCUCCCUUCCUUUCCCUUGCUCUUUUUUUCAUUCCUUCCUCCCUUUCUUUCUCCCCACUCCCUCCUACCCUUACCUCCAUACUUCUGCUUUUCCUUCCUUCCUUCCUUCCUUCCUUCCUUCCUUCCUUCCUUCCUUCCUUCCUUCCUUCCUUCCUUCCUUCCUUUCUUCCCACCUUGCCUUCCUCUUCCUUGCCUCCUCCAUUUUUAAACCCCCAAGAACUCCCCACCCUGUAAGGCCCGCUAGCCAUGAUUCCUAGUUUGCCUCUUCUUGCCAUUUCUUUCUUCCAAAAGGUAAAAAUUAUUUAGGGUCCAACAUUUCUGUUCCUCAGUAAGAAAUUCUUAAGGACUAGAAAUCUGGAAAAAGGGGAAUCAAACUGAUGUGACCUUUUGCAGCUUCCAUGACUUUGAUUACCACACCUUCCUUCCUUCCUUCCUUCCUUCCUUCCUUCCUUCCUUCCUUCCUUUCUUCCCACCUUGCCUUCCUCUUCCUUGCCUCCUCCAUUUUUAAACCCCCAAGAACUCCCCACCCUGUAAGGCCCGCUAGCCAUGAUUCCUAGUUUGCCUCUUCUUGCCAUUUCUUUCUUCCAAAAUGUAAAAAUUAUUUAGGGUCCAACAUUUCUGUUCCUCGGUAAGAAAAUCUUAAGGACUAGAAAUCUGGAAAAAGGGGAAUCAAACUGAUGUGACCUUUUGCAGCUUCCAUGACUUUGAUUACCACACCUUCCUUCCUUCCUUCCUUCCUUUCUUCAUUCCUUCCUUCCUUCCUUACUUACUUUUUCUUUCUCCAUCUUCCUCCCUUCACUCCCUUCCUCCCUCUCUCCCUUUCUUUCUUUCUUUCUUUCUUUCUUUCUUUCUUUCUUUCUUUCUUUCUUUCUUUCUUUCUUUCUUUCUGUCUGUCUGUCUGUCUGUCUGUCUGUCUCUUUCUUUUUCCUUUUUUCUCCAUCUCCCUCCCUUCCCCCUCUCUCCCUUUCUUUCUUCCUUCCCUCCCUCCCUCUCUCCCUUUCUUUCCUUCUGUCCCUUUCUUUUUCCUUCUUUCUCCAUCUUUCUCCCUUCCCUCCCUCUCUCCCUUUCUUUCCUUCCUUCCUUCUGUCUCUUUCUUUUUCCUUCUUUCUCCAUCUUCCUCCCUUCCCUGCCUCCCUCCCUCCCUCCCUCUCUCCCUUUCUUUCUUUCUUUCUUUCUUUCUUUCUUUCUUUCUUUCUUUCUUUCUUUCUUUCUUUCUUUCUUUCUUUUUCUUUUUCUUUUUCUUUUUCUUUUUCUUUCUUUCUCCAUCUUCCUUCCUUCCUUCCUUCCUUCCUUCCUUCCUUCCUUCCUUCCUUCCUUCCUUCCUUCCUUCCUUCCUUUCUGCCUUCCUUUCUUCCUUCCUUCCUUCCACUCAGUUUGUGCAAGUAAGCAAAAGAGUGUGCACUUACCUGUAGCUUUCUCCAAACCGAAUGUCUGCCAGCCUCCCUCUUUCUCAAAUGCUGGGAACAUCAGGAACUCUCCUAUAUACCUGCACUGGGGGUGGGGUGGGGGGUGAAUUUGCUGUCCUCAAACAUUAGUAAAAAUUUCCCUCGUCCUGAUUGCAUCAUGGGGACAACAAACAAAAAAAAUGAUUCAGUGCACAACUGAACCUCUGUUCAAGGGCAAAGACAAAUGUUGACACUUCCCCUUUACCUGAAGUCACCUAACAGCUAUUUGGGAUGGG